rnacentral:rRNA from 1 species
UCGAGCGGAUGACGGGAGCUUGCUCCUUGAUUCAGCGGCGGACGGGUGAGUAAUGCCUAGGAAUCUGCCUGGUAGUGGGGGACAACGUUUCGAAAGGAACGCUAAUACCGCAUACGUCCUACGGGAGAAAGCAGGGGACCUUUGGGCCUUGCGCUAUCAGAUGAGCCUAGGUCGGAUUAGCUAGUUGGUGGGGUAAUGGCUCACCAAGGCGACGAUCCGUAACUGGUCUGAGAGGAUGAUCAGUCACACUGGAACUGAGACACGGUCCAGACUCCUACGGGAGGCAGCAGUGGGGAAUAUUGGACAAUGGGCGAAAGCCUGAUCCAGCCAUGCCGCGUGUGUGAAGAAGGUCUUCGGAUUGUAAAGCACUUUAAGUUGGGAGGAAGGGCAGUAAGUUAAUACCUUGCUGUUUUGACGUUACCGACAGAAUAAGCACCGGCUAACUCUGUG